AUAACUGGCCGAAAGGCUUGCUAAUACCAGAUAAGCCCACGCGCUCUUUGGAGCGAGAGGGAAAAGGUGGCCUCUGUAUACAAGCUAUCGCAACAGGAUGAGUCCGCGGCCCAUCAGCUAGUUGGCGGGGUAAUGGCCCACCAAGGCAACGACGGGUAGCUGGUCUGAGAGGAUGAUCAGCCACACUGGAACUGAGACACGGUCCAG
rnacentral:rRNA from 1 species